rnacentral:rRNA from 1 species
CAGUAGCCACGGUAAUACAGAGGGUGCGAGCGUUAAUCGGAUUUACUGGGCGUAAAGCGUGCGUAGGCGGCUUUUUAAGUCGGAUGUGAAAUCCCUGAGCUUAACUUAGGAAUUGCAUUCGAUACUGGGUAGCUAGAGUAUGGGAGAGGAUGGUAGAAUUCCAGGUGUAGCGGUGAAAUGCGUAGAGAUCUGGAGGAAUACCGAUGGCGAAGGCAGCCAUCUGGCCUAAUACUGACGCUGAGGUACGAAAGCAUGGGGAGCAAACAGGAUUAGAUACCCCCGUAGUCCCUGUCUCUUAUAC